CAUGUUUGUUGUUUGAGUCGUGGCUCGCUCCACGCAGGUGACGUCAUUUGCCCCGCCCCUCUCGGCCGGGGUCCAAAUCCCGGCCCCGCCUGUGCUGUGCGGGUUUUCCCCUCCGCUUUCCUCCCACGUCCCCAAAAACACGCAACAUUAAUUGCCCCGAGGUGUGCCGGGGAGCGCGGCGAUUGGCUGGCGACGACAGCUGGGACAGGCUGCGGCGCUCCCGCGGCCCUUGUGAGGAUACGCGGCUCAGAAAAGGGCGGCGUGGGUGUCCCCAAUAAAUUGCAUUCACUCCCAGCGGCGCGCUGAAAACUGGCGAGCAGGUCCGGUCCGGUCCGGUGCAGAACCUCCGUCACGGCGCCGGAGGAAGCACCUCCACCGUGUAGCUGACGCGCUUGGACCGCAGGACGCUGUAGGUGUUGUCGAAAGACAAGACGUCUGCGCCGUGAGGCGCCGGGCGGGCGUUAAGGCGAUGGCGGGCCCGCGUUAGCGUGUGUGUGUCGCACUCACACACGCCGACUUCGGGGCAGGCGACGACGUUGUCCUCGGGCACCAGAUGGGCGUUGCAGCGCUGCGCGGGAACGACGUCCAGCACGGCCGCCG